UACGGGGGGGCAAGCGUUGUUCGGAAUUACUGGGCGUAAAGGGUUCGUAGGUGGCUCGCUAAGUCAGACGUGAAAUCCCUCAGCUUAACUGGGGACUGCGUCUGAGACUGCCAGAGACUGAGGUGCGAGGAGAGGAACGCGAAUCAGGUGUAGCGGUGAAAUGCGUAGAUAUCUGGAGAACACCGGUGGCGAAGGCGGCGAGUUGUCGGACUGGCAACUGACACUGAGGAACGAAGCCAGGGAGCAAACGGG
rnacentral:rRNA from 1 species